rnacentral:rRNA from 1 species
CACGGGAAGCUUGCUUCCUGGUGGCGAGCGGCGGACGGGUGAGUAAUGCAUAGGAAUCUGCCCGGUAGUGGGGGAUAACCUGGGGAAACCCAGGCUAAUACCGCAUACGUCCUACGGGAGAAAGCAGGGGCUCUUCGGACCUUGCGCUAUCGGAUGAGCCUAUGUCGGAUUAGCUGGUUGGUGAGGUAAUGGCUCACCAAGGCGACGAUCCGUAGCUGGUCUGAGAGGAUGAUCAGCCACAUCGGGACUGAGACACGGCCCGAACUCCUACGGGAGGCAGCAGUGGGGAAUAUUGGACAAUGGGCGCAAGCCUGAUCCAGCCAUGCCGCGUGUGUGAAGAAGGCCCUCGGGUUGUAAAGCACUUUCAGUGGGGAAGAAAGCCUGGUGGUUAAUACCCGUCAGGAAGGACAUCACCCACAGAAGAAGCACCGGCUAACUCCGUGCCAGCAGCCGCGGUAAUACGGAGGGUGCGAGCGUUAAUCGGAAUUACUGGGCGUAAAGCGCGCGUAGGUGGGUUGAUAAGCCGGUUGUGAAAGCCCCGGGCUCAACCUGGGGAACGGCAUCCGGAACUGUCAGGCUAGAGUGCAUGAGAGGAAGGUAGAAUUCCCGGUGUAGCGGUGAAAUGCGUAAAGAUCGGGAGGAAUACCAGUGGCGAAGGCGGCCUUCUGGACUGACACUGACACU